AUGCAUUCAACAGUUUGUGGAGCUUCAAAUUCCCCAUCCACAGUCAAAAAUAUUAAUGAGGUGCUGACCGACAGCAACCAGAGCCAGUCAGCUGUGAGCGACCAGAAUCAGACAAGUCCAGUGGUCAGUCCACCUAACAUGGUCAGAAAGGGUCUUGAUGAGGAAAUGCAUUCAACAGUUUGUGGAGCUUCAAAUUCCCCAUCCACAGUCAAAAAUAUUAAUGAGGUGCUGACCGACAGCAACCAGAGCCAGUCAGCUGUGAGCGACCAGAAUCAGACAAGUCCAGUGGUCAGUCCACCUAACAUGGUC